UCAUCUUCCCAAUUAAGUACAAGCCACCAAACUUCUUUCAUUCUGUCAUAACCUAGCUCCUUAAAGUAGUUUCUUAGAUAAAAUACAUUCACCCUAUCCA